ACCUUCCCUGCGCUUGCCUGUUCUCUUGUAGGCUCUGGUUGCCUGUCUGGCAGAGGCAGGGGAACAGUCGGUGUUCACAAAGCUGUUGGGCAAAGUGAAGGAUGCUCAGCCCCUGGAUGCACAGACCCUUGUGUCCUUACUGAAGCUGUUUCAAGAUGUGAAUCCCACGCUGAGAGCAGCCUUGCUGGAGAGGGAACAGGGCAGUGGAGAAGCCCUGCAGCAAACAGAGAGCACGAAAGAGGGAGAGAUGCUGACUGCUCGUUUGCCGGGAUGCAGGGAGGAGCUGAUCCAGAGCGUGACACAGCUGAGCCCCAUCACAGAGUUCCUGGAGGCAGCAGAAGAGGGAUUCCUGACCGCCUCGGAGAAGCGGUGGCCACCAGUGAAAGCACAGCCAUUGAGAUCAUCCUGCGGCACAGCAAGUUGAUUUCGGAGGCCAUUAGGCAGAGAGCGGACCUUGGCUCCAGGGGAAGCAGGACUCACAGAAGCAGUAAAAGAGGUAUGAGGGGAUGAUGCAGCGUGUACCCCAGCUGCCUUUGGAGCCAGCACAAUCUGGGGCUCAGAUUCUGGACAAGCCCUAGCAUGCACUGAAAUCAGGGGAUGUUACUUAGGCCAGGCAAGGCAUUCGAAGUUGGAGGCAUCCCUCUACUGAAGUGAGAGCAUACUGGGUGUUUUAUAUAAAUCUGCAGGAGGUUCUAGGUGAAAUAAAUUGCCAGUGAGCUUUUCA
rnacentral:lncRNA from 1 species